rnacentral:lncRNA from 1 species
UGGGAUCAGAUCAUGUGGAAGGAGAUGGAGGAACUAUUAAUGAGGAUCAAUUGUUCAUUACUGCAGCAGGAGGAUGGCAAGGAAGUCGAGUUUAUGGUUUAGGUAGUGCUGCCUCUUCUGCCUUCUCUCAAACAGGAACUGGGGGUACAUCAACAAAUGUUCCAUCAUCCCAAUCACCAGAAUGGAAGAAGGAAAUUGAAGCAAAGUUUGAAGAGAAGUAUAAUAGUUUGCAGAAACUUGUAGAAGACCAAAAUCAGAUGAUAGCUCAAAUGCGUGAUGAACUACAGGUAGCGAAGAUGGGACAUCAAUCUUCCUCAUUGAUGCCAUUAUCAUCUGAUAGUCCUCCAGCUCAUAGAUCCCUUGGUGAUUCACAUAUGGAUUAGCAUGAUAUCAUUACUCACUGACUUAAAUAAUAUAUUUUAUGAUAUGAAUUUGAUACUAUUUGGAUCCAUCAUGUAUUUUGAGAUAUUUUAAGUUUCUUAGUGUUGAACUAUAGUAAUGUUUUGGACUUUUAGAUUGCAGAAUUAUGAAAUGAAGUUGAU